ensembl:lncRNA
AUGACCUCGCCUAACGUCCUCGUCUAUGUCCUCGUCUGUGUCCUCGCCUACGACCUCGUCUACGACCUCUCCUACGUCCUCUCCUACGUCCUCGCCUAUGACCUCGUCCUCUUCCACGUCUACCUCCUUACCUACGACCUCGCCUACGACCUCGUCUACGUCCUCGCCUAUUACCUCUCCUACAUCCUCACCUAUGACCUCUCCUACAUCUUCUCCUACGUCCUCUCCUACGACCUCGCCUACGUCCUCUUCUAUAUUCUCGCCUACGACCUCUCCUACGUCCUCGCCUAUGACCUCACCGAUGUCCUCGCCUACGUCCUCUCCUACGUCCUCUCCUAUAUUCUCGCCUACGACCUCUCCUACGUCCUCGCCUAUGACCUCACCGAUGUCCUCGCCUACGUCCUCUCCUACGUCCUCUCCUAUAUUCUUGCCUACGACCUCUCCUACGUCCUUGCCUAUAACCUCGUCCUCUUCCAUGCCUAUGUCCUCGCCUACGACCUCGCCUAUGACCUCUCCUACGUCCUCUCCUAUGUCCUCGCCUACGACCUCUCCUACGUCCUCGCCUAUGACCUCACCGAUGUCCUCGCCUACGUCCUCUCCUACGUCCUCUCCUAUAUUCUUGCCUACGACCUCUCCUACGUCCUCACCUAUAACUUCGCCCUCUUCCAUGCCUAUGUCCUCGCCUACGACCUCGCCUAUGACCUCUCCUACGUCCUCUCCUUUGUCCUCGCCUACGACCUCUCCUACGUCCUCGCCUAUGACCUCGUCCUCUUAGGCGAGGACGUAGGACAUGUCCUCUCCUACGACCUCGCCGACGUCCUCUCCUAUAUUCUCGCCUACGACCUCUCCUACGUCCUCGCCUAUGACCUCACCGAUGUCCUCGCCUACGUCCUCUCCUACGUCCUCACCUAUAUUCUCGCCUACGACCUCUCCUACGUCCUCGCCUAUGACCUCACCGAUGUCCUCGCCUACGUCCUCUCCUACGUCCUCUCCUAUAUUCUUGCCUACGACCUCUCCUACGUCCUUGCCUAUAACCUCGUCCUCUUCCAUGCCUAUGUCCUCGCCUACGACCUCGCCUAUGACCUCUCCUACGUCCUCUCCUAUGUCCUCGCCUACGACCUCUCCUACGUCCUCGCCUAUGACCUCACCGAUGUCCUCGCCUACGUCCUCUCCUACGUCCUCUCCUAUAUUCUCGCCUACGACCUCUCCUACGUCCUCGCCUAUGACCUCACCGAUGUCCUCGCCUACGUCCUCUCCUACGUCCUCUCCUAUAUUCUUGCCUACGACCUCUCCUACGUCCUCGCCUAUAACCUCGCCCUCUUCCAUGCCUAUGUCCUCGCCUACGACCUCGCCUAUGACCUCUCCUACGUCCUCUCCUUUGUUCUCGCCUACGACCUCUCCUACGUCCUCGCCUAUGACCUCGUCCUCUUAGGCGAGGACGUAGGACAUGUCCUCUCCUACGACCUCGCCGACGUCCUCGCCUAUGACCUCAUCCUCUUCCACGUCCUCGCAUACAUCCUCGCCUAUGACCUCUCCUACGUCCUCGCUUACGUCCUCGCCCACAUUCUCGCCUACGACCUUGUCCUCUUCCACGUCUACGUCCUCACCUACGUCCUCGCCUACAUCCUCGACCUACGUCCUUGA